UUUUUGGUUUCCUGCGCCCUGGCUGUCCUGGACUUGCUCUGUAGACCAUAUUUUUAUUUUCCACUGUUUUGGUAUUUUAGAGACAGAGCUCGUGUACGCCAGACUCUUCUGGAACUGCAGUCCUGCUGCUCUGCCUCAUGAGAGCUGGGACUCUGGGCAUUGGCCACCACACCAGGCCUCUGAGACUUCAUCCGCAGACCCUCUGUUCCCUGGCGAUGUGUCUGCUGGAGAACCUGAAUUACCUGACAGACUCCAUCAGAGUCUGGAUUUUGCUAUUCCCUUACAGCUGUUUCUCUUUCUCCAUAAUGUCCUCUAACCUGAUCAUUCAUACAGGGCUCCUUAUAACAGUCGGGUCGUUAAUGUCCUCCACUUUGGUGGGUGGUUCUCCAGGUAACGUUACAGGUGGCUUUGUGUGCCUCUGUUAGGAGGUUUGUGACCACGGGUUGUCUCUCUUUUGACAGUGUUACUGGCCGUUGAUUAUCAUCUGGAUCCUUUGCUUCCCAGAGAUUAGCAAAACACUGACAAUCUAGUUCCGCCAUUUCUUAUUUUGUGGAAAAUUUCUAUAACAAAAAUUUUCCGCGCUUACCUAGGAAGCGCAAGGCCCUGGGUUCGGUCCCCAGCUCCGAAAAAAAGAACCAAAAAAAAAAAAAAAAAA
rnacentral:lncRNA from 1 species